ensembl:lncRNA
GCAAACCGCAUGUCACCCAGACUGGCCCCAAAGUCAGCCAGCUACUUGCCAACCAGAGCUCGCAGGGCCCGGACGAGAACCCGCUUCUCUCGAUUCCAGGCUGUGUCGUUUCUAGUGUCUCCUCCUGGAUGUCGCCACCUUCUUGCUGAGCAAGGGCAUUAGGAGGUGCAUGGUGAAGGGCCGGGUGAAGGACAGCUAGUCUCUGCCAGGGAACUAGUUAUGCUGAAGCUUGGAGUCCACACUGAGCAGGGUGCUCGGAGGCCAGGCUGAGAGGCAGCAGGGGCCACCCCUGUGUACUCAGGAAACCGCUCAGCCUAGAGAUUCCACCCCAUCAAACCCCGAUGUCUGGAUAUCUGUCAAGGAGGGUGGCGACAGCACGGGUGGAUUCCCCGGGCAGGGGCGCUGGUACCCGUGGCCUGGGACUCCGUAUCCCUCCGGAGCUGGAUCUUCACCAGAUGUCGUGGGAGCAGACGUCUUGGACAGAAGUGCAGUGGCGUGUGUCCAGGGCCCAGUCCUCUGGGAGCUGCCCACCCCGCUUGGGAGCAGAGCCCCCAGCCCUGAAAUCGCUGGGCCAGGGCCAGGCGGGGCGAAUCCCCUCUACCCAGUCGGGUACCAGUGCCCUGGGCGCCCCCAUCAAGGACACCAGGGUUUGCACGACAGGGUAGGAGAAGAGGAAUGCGUUUGGUUGCUGGUCCCACAGGGGCCUGGAAGCCCAGGGAGGAGAUGGAGGCCCACGGCCUGCUUCCCGGGCUCCAAGUGAGCAAGUGAUGCGGAAGGCGGGUGCCGGAGUGGAGCUGACUUCGCUGUCGUCCCAGCCCCUGUUCAGCUCAAGUCACACGUGCGAACAGGCUGCUGGCUCCAGGCGGCUGGUAGACUGCAGCUGACAGAUUUGGGAUCUGAUAAGAGACUGUUGAUUUCAUCCGCGUGUGCGAUGUCGGAGAUGGAUUUUAACAGUUAAAACGGGGAAAGGCAAAAAAGAGCCCUAGAUCGUUGACCAGCUUUGCAACACUGGCUGUUGCUUCUAACGGUUCUCCAAACUGUUAACUCCCCGACUUGGAGGUUCCUGUGUGUGAAGGGGCACUAUUGUGCC